UACGUAGGGGGCAAGCGUUAUCCGGAUUUACUGGGUGCAAAGGGAGCGUAGACGGCAGGGCAAGUCUGGAGUGAAAGCCCGGGGCCCAACCCCGGGACUGCUUUGGAAACUGCCAUGCUGGAGUGCUGGAGAGGUAAGCGGAAUUCCUAGUGUAGCGGUGAAAUGCGUAGAUAUUAGGAAGAACACCAGUGGCGAAGGCGGAUGACUGGACGACAACUGACGGUGAGGCGCGAAAGCGUGGGGAGCAAACAGG
rnacentral:rRNA from 1 species